GUCUACGGCCAUACCACCCUGAACGCACCCCAUCUCGUCUGAUCUCGGAAGCUAAGCAGGGUCAGGCCUGGUUAGUACUUAGAUGGGAGAUUGUUAAAAAUAAAUGAAUAAACU
rnacentral:rRNA from 1 species